rnacentral:rRNA from 1 species
AGAGUUUGAUCCUGGCUCAGGACGAACGCUGGCGGCGCGCCUAACACAUGCAAGUCGAACGAGCGAGAGAGAGCUUGCUUUCUCGAGCGAGUGGCGAACGGGUGAGUAACGCGUGAGGAACCUGCCUCAAAGAGGGGGACAACAGUUGGAAACGACUGCUAAUACCGCAUAAGCCCACGGCUCGGCAUCGAGCAGAGGGAAAAGGGCAAUCCGCUUUGAGAUGGCCUCGCGUCCGAUUAGCUAGUUGGUGAGGUAACGGCCACCAAGGCAACGAUCGGUAGCCGGACUGAGAGGUUGAACGGCCACAUUGGGACUGAGACACGGCCCAGACCUCCGUACGGGAGGCA